AAAUUGAAGAGUUUGAUCAUGGCUCAGAUUGAACGCUGGCGGCAGGCCUAACACAUGCAAGUCGAACGGUAACAGGAAGCAGCUUGCUGCUUUGCUGACGAGUGGCGGACGGGUGAGUAAUGUCUGGGAAACUGCCUGAUGGAGGGGGAUAACUACUGGAAACGGUAGCUAAUACCGCAUAACGUCGCAAGACCAAAGAGGGGGACCUUAGGGCCUCUUGCCAUCGGAUGUGCCCAGAUGGGAUUAGCUAGUAGGUGGGGUAACGGCUCACCUAGGCGACGAUCCCUAGCUGGUCUGAGAGG
rnacentral:rRNA from 1 species